ACUCUGAGACAGAGUUAAGGAGGACGUGAAACCGCUGGGAUGGAAACGAAUAGAGUUGACGAAACCUACCGUCAUUCAACCGAUCAACUCAGCGGUCUUCUAUCAUUUGUACCGGACGCAUCGCCUUGUGCGUAAUGUGUGAUGGACAAUGAUAGAUUGAUGCUGUUGAGUAGUGUUUUAAAUAGCUGUGUGAUCGGUGCAUUUGAUGGUGGUACGCGCCGAGAGUCGCGUUAUUGUACGACAAAGCAUUUUUGGUAGUGGACCGAGUGAUUGAUUCACUCGGAAACCUACCAAUGUGGAAGCGUAUCGAUUGAUGCGAUUGCAAUUGCAACUUUCGCGCAUAUGAAAAUAUGUGUGCGUUAUUGUAUCUGCUCAAUUUAUACAUGCACAAAAUGAUCGCUUGCGUAUUGUUUGUGUUUUUAAUAAUGCAUAAAUUGAGUGAUAUAUAACGCGUUGAGGUUGUUUCUCGGUGUGAGCGUCGAUCACCUAUUCGACCCGUCUUGAAACA
rnacentral:rRNA from 1 species